GCUGGGUAUGGUGGCGGGCGCCUGUAAUCCCAGCUACUUGGGAGGCUGAGGCGGGAGAAUCGCUUGAACCCAGGAGGUGGAAGUUGCAGUGAGCUGAGAUCACGCCACUGCACUCCAGCCUGGGCGACAAAGCGAGACUCCGUCUCAA
rnacentral:SRP_RNA from 2 species